AAAAUACUAGUAAAACCAUUACAUAACUUUGUCAAAGUUAAAUUACAGACUAAACCCCUGUGUAUUUUC
rnacentral:tRNA from 1 species